rnacentral:tRNA from 1 species
UGGUACUUCCUCUUUCUCAGAA